GUCCACUCUGCCCCAUAAGCACAUGUAAUCAUUAUGUAUGCAAUAAAGGAAAGGGGCGUGGCCACACUACUGGUGGCAGAGUCACAGAAUACAGGGCUCUUCGGUCCAUGGCAGGAUGGCACAGAGCAGAACGAGCAGAGCACCGCAGACUUCAAAGGAAGAAAAAUGCACCUUGGUCCUGCGGAGCCACUGUUACCUGAAAUUCAUCGCAGGAUGCAGCUUUGUGCUCUCAGUGAUACAUAUGCCCAUCCUGUGUCACUCCAGGGAAUACGAGCACCUCUGAGAACAAGCACACACAUGUCCCCAGGCAAGUUCACCUACACAUGAAAACCAUGCUGGAGAGAAGGAGGAGGAAAGACCCCCCAGCACAUCACAGCCCUGGCAGGGCAAGACCUGCUUGGCCAGAAACAGCUCUGUGAUUCAUUUUCUAUGUGCUGUGUUUACAUACAUUAGUAAAUAUGGUUCCCAUUUCUCUCUGCAACAGCGGCUAUAAAUUAUAUGUUGGAAGUGUUUCGCUCCUCUCUUUCCAUAAAAGGUCUGUCAGGAAUUACUGAGGCCCCAACAAAAGGUGGUCAGUGGUUGGAAGGAGACUGACUUCUUUUACUCAUGGCCUUAAAUUAAUUAGCUAAUUAA
rnacentral:lncRNA from 1 species